CCUGAUGGCUCAUGCAGAGGAGUUCUCAGCUAACUAACGUGGGGACUUCAUGAUGGAAAUUCGGCCAGGAGAGAGCCUGGUGCACCUUUGACUCAGUUCAGCCAAGGUGAUUGUUUUGUAAGGAGUACAGUCUGGGUCAAAGUGACAGAAGACGUGGGGUUGAUAACAAAUUCCUCAUGUAGAUUAAUGCAUGGGCCCUCAUCCAUGGUUUUCUGAAAAGCACCAGGCAGCCUGCUGUAGACCACCGGGUGAAGAGUGUGCUGGCCAGUGGAGGAUCCCAGACCCCAGCGGCUAAAUGGACGACCUCAAUGACCCAUCCCCAUGUUCCCUGGGGGACAGGCAGAUAGCCCCACUGGGACCAAAAUGAGAGGAGAGGCUGUCUUCCAGAUUACGUUAGCAAUUAAUAAAAAUUAGAAACAACCUAAUUGUCUAAAAGCCGAGAACAGUUAAAUUGCAGAAAUACAUACUGUGUAGCUAUUUUAAAAAAUGAACUGGUUACGUAGGAAGGAUGUGUAUUUUUUUGAGUCUUUUAAAAAGGCAAGUUGCAUGACAAUAUGUAUGAUAUAAACCCAUUAAAAACUCUAUAGGAAUAUUUAUUAUGUAUUUGUAUAUAUAUGGAGAGAAGUAGGACAGAAGGAUGCUUAACAACCGAAAAAAAAAGACUGAUCUGGAAGCUUUCCCUAACCUCACCAGGGUAAGGUGCCUCUUUCCUCUGUUUUUUGAAUGCUCUAUCAUACACUUAACCUUGCUACACCAUCACACCUACAGGACAGCCCUAUAAAUUGGUUUGUGUUGCCACUUUGCACAUUAGACCCUGAGCUCUUUGAAGGCAGGAGCCAUGUCCUAUUCAUCUUUGUAUCACUUCUAUCUAGCUCAGUGCUGGGGACCAAAUAGGGAGUGAACAGAGCAUAAGUCCAGGAGGUGAGAUACACAAUUCAUUACCGUAAGAUGCAGCUCACACACCACAAUCAUCUUGUCACUUGGAAAUGUUUAGGUGUGAAAGGAAAAUAAAAUCUCAGGACCCAAAACUCACUAUGCCAAAGGGAAAAGUGAAGAUUGGCAACUGAAUCAUAUAAAACUGCCUUCCUUUUGUUCCUAAACAGAGAGCGGUAAUCAUAGAAGACCACCUAUCUACUCAGGUGGGCUCCCUCACAAAUUGCUCACAAGAAUUCCCUGUGGGCUUGCAAAUCUUUCAGAAUACAUACCCCUCCCAUGAACCAACCCCAAACAGGGUUCUGUUGAAUAUCAUCCUGACAGUGUAAAUUAACAGCUUAUCUUUACAUGUACAGGACAAAGACAAGACUAGAAAUCAACUCUCUGCCCGCCAAAAGCAUAUUUGACUUCUUCCUCUACUCUGUGUUUACUUUAUCCUAUGUAAAGUGCAGAUUUACCUAGCUUGGGAUGAAUGCAUUAUUGACAGUUCCUCUACUCCCUCUUUUCACAUGUAAAAUGUGGAUUCAGUGAGCCCCAUCAAAGCCCCACAAGAAUGUAACUUUUGCUUCAUUAUCUAAUCUUUCCUCUUUUUUUCCUUUCCUCCUUCCCCUCCUACCCACUCUUUCCCCUUUAAAUGGUGAAGUCCUCACAACCCUCUUUGGAAAAAACACAGGCCACAGAUCCUAUUGUAACUUGUGUCUCUUUUUCCUGGGCAUGUGUUCAAUCUUGG
rnacentral:lncRNA from 1 species